AACGUUGACUCGGGGUGCCCUUCCACGUGAAGGCUGAGAAAGACCCGUACCACCUGAUCUGGAUAAUGCCAGCGUAGGGAAGUCACGGAGUCUCACC
rfam:Lonsdalea quercina strain ATCC 29281 genome assembly, contig: Ga0052894_scaffold00003.3